rnacentral:tmRNA from 1 species
GGGGGUGACCGGCUUUGACGGUUUGUUCCUUGAAAGACGUGCGACGCAGUGCACUCUCGCCUACCACUCUAAUCUAGCGAGAAAACAUACUUGCAAAGAACACUCUAGCAAGCGUGAAGUCCCCGUACUUCGGUAUGAAGGACUUCUCGUUCGCUUUCGCGACUGCCUAACCGCACCUCGCCAAGCGACAUCUCACCUCUCGGGUUCCUAUAGCCGGAGGCUGGGGUGGAAUCAUCUGUAGGAUCGGUGUCCAGAAUCCCGGCCGGCACAUCUAAAUAAGGGAUCGGGCAGGAAUGGUUUCGUCGGAGUUCCUCGCAUCCUGCCUCAGACACUAACGCCGACUAUGCGUCGUAGAUUCGCUUUCAAGAACGGAUUCGGACCGGAGUUCAAUUCUCCGCACCUCCACAA